UACAGAGGGGGCAAGCGUUGUUCGGAAUUACUGGGCGUAAAGGGCGCGUAGGCGGCCUUCUAAGUCGAACGUGAAAUCCCCGGGCUCAACCCGGGAACCGCGUCCGAUACUGGAAGGCUUGAAUCCGGGAGAGGGAUGCGGAAUUCCAGGUGUAGCGGUGAAAUGCGUAGAUAUCUGGAGGAACACCGGUGGCGAAGGCGGCAUCCUGGACCGGCAUUGACGCUGAGGCGCGAAAGCCAGGGGAGCAAACGGG
rnacentral:rRNA from 1 species